AGCGAACGCUGGCGGCAGGCUUAACACAUGCAAGUCGAGCGGGCAUCCUUGUGGUGUCAGCGGCAGACGGGUGAGUAACGCGUGGGAACGUGCCCUUCGGUUCGGAAUAACUCAGGGAAACUUGAGCUAAUACCGGAUACGUGCGAGAGCAGAAAGGUUUAUCUGCCGAAGGAUCGGCCCGCGUCCGAUUAGCUAGUUGGUGAGGUUAUGGCUCACCAAGGCGACGAUCAGUAGCUGGUCUGAGAGGAUGAUCAGCCACACUGGGACUGAGACACGGCCCAGACUCCUACGGGAGGCAGCAGUGGGGAAUAUUGGACAAUGGGGGCAACCCUGAUCCAGCCAUGCCGCGUGAGUGAUGACGGCCUUAGGGUUGUAAAGCUCUUUUCUCCGGGACGAUAAUGACGGUACCGGAGGAAUAAGCCCCGGCUAACUUCGUG
rnacentral:rRNA from 1 species